GGGCAAGGAAAGGAAAAAUUGAGGACGGAGAGUGAAGGGAAGAUGGUGCUUUUAAAGGAAAGUGGGGAAGUGGCUGAGAUCGGAGGGGAGUUUGGCAUCUUUUGCGAUAUGGGUGUGUGUGUUCUUGUUGGAGAGACAACGCAGGGGAGGGGCACGUGUGAUACGGGGAGGAGUUGUGUUUUUAUGUGUGUGCUGAGAAAAUGAAUAUGUAUUUGCUUUAAACCCCCCCCCCCGGUGAUUUCUUGCUGACGCGCUCCAUAAUGCACGGCAUAUCAAGCAGCCAUGGCUCCAUGGAGCCCGUCCAACUCCCGACUUCGCCGACCAGACCUCAUUCACGCAAAGGUGAGUCGGCGGCCGGUGUUCCUCCGCUCAGAUGUCAAAGCGACGUUGUAACCACUUUGCACGAUGUGUCACGUGCGCAGUCAAAACAGCCUGAUUGCCGCUUGCGCUUUCCAGGGCCACGAGCUGACUGCGGUUCCGUGCUCUGUUUGCAAGAUCGUGUGUCCGAUGACACGGACGCGCCGUCAGCGUUCGGCCAAGAGGACGGACACUGUUCCGACAAUUUAGUGAAGAUGUUGCAGCUGCUUUGUCACCCCGGAACGUGGCCUGCUCUUUAGACUCUGUUUACACGUUGUCUCUUUUUUCCCUUGACCGAGCAGCAGAGCUCCGGGGAAAUUGGUGUUUAACUCUUCGUCCCCCAAAUUCUGGAGAAUGAAGAGAACCCGCGUUGCCUGCGGCUGGCUGGUUGUGGCUUCAAUGGGUCUUGACUCCGUUCCCUCCGGGCUUCCAAAUGAUGGGAUGACCUUUCCACCUCGGCCAGGGCUGCAGCGUCACUCACAGCAUGAAAUGGAAAGUAAUUUAAACCCUUCAGAAUUCUUUCCAUACUGCCUUAACCCUCCUAUUUUAUUUUAUUUGAAUCCUGCUUUACAAGAAAGGUCAGAACAUUCAUAUAGUAUCAUUUAUCAUAUUUGAAAUACUGUUGGCACCAUAAACAGACAUUACCGUCUUUAACUUAUUACAAAACAGUCUCGUUUGAUACGGAUGCCUUGAUUAGAACUACAUGAGGAAAAGAGACCAUC
ensembl:lncRNA